GAUGAACGCUGGCGGCGUGCCUAAUACAUGCAAGUCGAGCGAACGGACGAGAAGCUUGCUUCUCUGAUGUUAGCGGCGGACGGGUGAGUAACACGUGGAUAACCUACCUAUAAGACUGGGAUAACUUCGGGAAACCGGAGCUAAUACCGGAUAAUAUUUUGAACCGCAUGGUUCAAAAGUGAAAGACGGUCUUGCUGUCACUUAUAGAUGGAUCCGCGCUGCAUUAGCUAGUUGGUAAGGUAACGGCUUACCAAGGCAACGAUGCAUAGCCGACCUGAGAGGGUGAUCGGCCACACUGGAACUGAGACACGGUCCAGACUCCUACGGGAGGCAGCAGUAGGGAAUCUUCCGCAAUGGGCGAAAGCCUGACGGAGCAACGCCGCGUGAGUGAUGAAGGUCUUCGGAUCGUAAAACUCUGUUAUUAGGGAAGAACAUAUGUGUAAGUAACUGUGCACAUCUUGACGGUACCUAAUCAGAAAGCCACGGCUAACUACGUGCCAGCAGCCGCGGUAAUACGUAGGUGGCAAGCGUUAUCCGGAAUUAUUGGGCGUAAAGCGCGCGUAGGCGGUUUUUUAAGUCUGAUGUGAAAGCCCACGGCUCAACCGUGGAGGGUCAUUGGAAACUGGAAAACUUGAGUGCAGAAGAGGAAAGUGGAAUUCCAUGUGUAGCGGUGAAAUGCGCAGAGAUAUGGAGGAACACCAGUGGCGAAGGCGACUUUCUGGUCUGUAACUGACGCUGAUGUGCGAAAGCGUGGGGAUCAAACAGGAUUAGAUACCCUGGUAGUCCACGCCGUAAACGAUGAGUGCUAAGUGUUAGGGGGUUUCCGCCCCUUAGUGCUGCAGCUAACGCAUUAUGCACUCCGCCUGGGGAGUACGACCGCAAGGUUGAAACUCAAAGGAAUUGACGGGGACCCGCACAAGCGGUGGAGCAUGUGGUUUAAUUCGAAGCAACGCGAAGAACCUUACCAAAUCUUGACAUCCUUUGACAACUCUAGAGAUAGAGCCUUCCCCUUCGGGGGACAAAGUGACAGGUGGUGCAUGGUUGUCGUCAGCUCGUGUCGUGAGAUGUUGGGUUAAGUCCCGCAACGAGCGCAACCCUUAAGCUUAGUUGCCAUCAUUAAGUUGGGCACUCUAAGUUGACUGCCGGUGACAAACCGGAGGAAGGUGGGGAUGACGUCAAAUCAUCAUGCCCCUUAUGAUUUGGGCUACACACGUGCUACAAUGGACAAUACAAAGGGCAGCGAAACCGCGAGGUCAAGCAAAUCCCAUAAAGUUGUUCUCAGUUCGGAUUGUAGUCUGCAACUCGACUACAUGAAGCUGGAAUCGCUAGUAAUCGUAGAUCAGCAUGCUACGGUGAAUACGUUCCCGGGUCU
rnacentral:rRNA from 1 species